GCGGCGUGGAUUAGGCAUGCAAGUCGAGCGAGAAGUUUACUUCGGUAAAUGGACAGCGGCGAAAGGGACAGUAAUGUGUAGGUACCUACCCCCCGAUCUGGGAUAGCUGCGGGAAACUGCAGGUAAUACCGGAUAAUGUCUUCGGACCAAAGGUGUGAUUCCGUCAGGGGAGGGGCCUGCAUCCUAUUAGCUUGUUGGUGAGGUAAUGGCUCACCAAGGCAACGAUGGGUAGCGGGUGUGAGAGCAUGACCCGCGUCAUUGGGACUGAGACACUGCCCAGACAUCUACGGAUGGCUGCAGUCGAGAAUCUUCGGCAAUGGGCGAAAGCCUGACCGAGCGACGCCGCGUGCGGGAUGAAGGCCCUCGGGUUGUAAACCGCUGUCGUUGGGGAGGAAAUGCAAAAGGGUUAUCCCUUCUGUUUGACCGAUCCAAGGAGGAAGUACGGG
rnacentral:rRNA from 1 species